GUCUUUUCGAUUUCCAACAGGGUCCUGAUUUUUUCUCCCAAGGAUGAAUAUUCUGCUCGAUGUUGCGUCGAGUCGAAACAUUGCUCUUGGAUUUUCGGAAUCCGGAAUCUCUUAGCUUACCGUACACCAUGACUGCGGCAUUGAUUGAGCGAUGCACGCGAGCACGAGUAUAUGGGGACGAAGUCGCGCGAUGACGAAAUGCCCAAUCUCCAAUCUGCUUACCGUUCUAUCGCGUUCCUGCUGCUCUUGCUCCUGCUGUUGCUGCUGCUUCUGAGUCAACUUUUUCGGUAUCUCGGUCACCCCAACCAUCUCGGUUAACGCCGCAUCGCAGCAGCGAUCAACCCGACCACGGUGAAUCGGUUGACAUUGUUUUCGCUUCUGUGGCGUAAAAUUUUCUUCAGAACCUGAUAAAAAACAAGUCUCGCGAUUAUCGUUCCUUUUGCUUUGGGAAACUUUUGGAGAAAUUCCUUUCCGUUGCAAUAUAUAUAUAUAUAUAUAAAAUUAAAUUAAA